rnacentral:rRNA from 1 species
CCUACGGGAGGCAGCAGUGGGGAAUAUUGCACAAUGGGGGAAACCCUGAUGCAGCGACGCCGCGUGAGUGAAGCAGUAAUUCGUUACGUAAAGCUCUAUCAGCAGGGAAGAAAAUGACGGUACCUGAGUAAGAAGCCCAGGCUAACUACGUGCCAGCAGCCGCGGUAAUACGUAGGGGGCAAGCGUUAUCCGGAUUUACUGGGUGGAAAGGGAGCGUAGACGGUGCGCCGAGUCUGGAGUGAAAUGCCGACGCUUAACUGCGGAACUGCUUUGGAAACUGGGGAACUAGAGUGCGGGAGGGGUGAGCGGAAUUCCUAGUGUAGCGGUGAAAUGCGUAGAUAUUAGGAGGAACACCGGUGGCGAAGGCGGCUUACUGGACCGUAACUGACGUUGAGGCUCGAAAGCGUGGGGAGCAAACAGGAUUAGAUACCCGAGUAGUC